rnacentral:rRNA from 1 species
GAUGAACGCUGGCGGCGUGCCUAAUACAUGCAAGUCGAGCGAAUGGAUUAAGAGCUUGCUCUUAUAAGUUAGCGGCGGACGGGUGAGUAACACGUGGGUAACCUGCCCAUAAGACUGGGAUAACUCCGGGAAACCGGGGCUAAUACCGGAUAACAUUUUGAACCGCAGGGGUCGAAAUUGAAAGGCGGCUUCGGCUGUCACUUAUGGAUGGACCCGCGUCGCAUUAGCUAGUUGGUGAGGUAACGGCUCACCAAGGCAACGGUGCGUAGCCGACCUGAGAGGGGGAUCGGCCACACUGGGACUGAGACACGGCCCAGACUCCUACGGGAGGCAGCAGUAGGGAAUCUUCCGCAAUGGACGAAAGUCUGACGGAGCAACGCCGCGUGAGUGAUGAAGGCUUUCGGGUCGUAAAACUCUGUUGUUAGGGAAGAACAAGUGCUAGUUGAAUAAGCUGGCACCUUGACGGUACCUAACCAGAAGGCCACGGCUAACUACGUGCCAGCCGCCGCCGUAA